CCUACGGGAGGCAGCAGUGAGGAAUAUUGGUCAAUGGACGAGAGUCUGAACCAGCCAAGUAGCGUGAAGGAUGACUGCCCUAUGGGUUGUAAACUUCUUUUAUAAAGGAAUAAAACGAGGCACGUGUGCCUUUUUGCAUGUACUUUAUGAAUAAGGAUCGGCUAACUCCGUGCCAGCAGCCGCGGUAAUACGGAGGAUCCGAGCGUUAUCCGGAUUUAUUGGGUUUAAAGGGAGCGUAGAUGGGUUGUUAAGUCAGUUGUGAAAGUUUGCGGCUCAACCGUAAAAUUGCAAUUGAUACUGGCAGUCGUGAGUACAGUUGAGGUAGGCGGAAUUCGUGGUGUAGCGGUGAAAUGCUUAGAUAUCACGAAGAACCCCGAUUGCGAAGGCAGCUUACUAAACUGUGACUGACAUUGAUGCUCGAAAGUGUGGGUAUCAAACAGGAUUAGAUACCCGGGUAGUG
rnacentral:rRNA from 1 species